rnacentral:rRNA from 1 species
AUUGAACGCUGGCGGAAUGCUUUACACAUGCAGGUCGAACGGCAGCACGGACUUCGGUCUGGUGGCGAGUGGCGAACGGGUGAGUAAUGUAUCGGAACGUGCCCAGUCGUGGGGGAUAACGUAGUGAAAAUUACGCUAAUACCGCAUACGAUCUAUGGAUGAAAGCGCGGGAUCGCAAGACCUCGCGCGAUUGGAGCGGCCGAUAUCAGACUAGGUAGUUGGUGGGGUAAAGGCCCACCAAGCCAACGAUCUGUAGCUGGUCUGAGAGGACGACCAGCCACACUGGAACUGAGACACGGUCCAGACUCCUACGGGAGGCAGCAGUGUGGAAUUUUGGACAAUGGGCGAAAGCCUGAUCCAGCCAUUCCGCGUGCAGGAUGAAGGCCCUCGGGUUGUAAGCUGCUUUUGUACAGAACGAAAAGGUUUCUACUAAUACUAGGAGCUCAUGACGGUACUGUAAGAAUAAGCACCGGCUAACUACGUGCCAGCCGCCGCAGUAA